GGCAGAGACCUAGGUAGAGGGAGAAGCAGGCUCCCUGCGGGGAGCCCUAUGCGCACUGGAUGCCAGACCCCGGGAUCACGCCCGGAGCCCAAGGCAGCCGCUCAACCACUGAGCCCCCCAGCGUCACAUUAUCACGAAUUUAGAAUAUGCGUUAGAAGGCGUGCUUUGCGCACUGUGACGGACUGCAUAUUGCUGCUGUGAUUCUUUAGGGUAAGAAGCCCCAGGUGCCCAGCAUCCAGAGCAGACCGGCUCGGCUCCACCGCAGGCACGCAGGGGCUGGGAUUCCCUCCCGCGAGCGGCAGCGACGUCACGGGCAGCUCCUCGGCGGCGGGGGCUGGAGCGCGGGAGGCGGCGGGCGCGCCGGGAGGGGCGUCGCUGGGAAUUUCCAGGGAAACACUGCAGCAGAUGGCCUGCCUGGCUGAGCUUCAGUGACACAUCUGCAGCACGGCUGGUGGGAAGGAUAUUUUCGGAAAAUCUAUGCUCUCUCAGGGACAGUAUGUGAAGGAUCCCAAGCCACUCACCAAUGCUACACCCUGCGUGCCCCCCCCCCCCCCGCCCCAACGGCACCCCCUGCGCUUUCUUUCUGCCAGUUACAUUAUGCAGGCUGUCAAGGUGGCCUGUGGAAUACAAGGGCAAAUGUUGCUAAGGUAACAGGAUUGAAAACCUGUCUGCAGAAGCAGAUGCUUUAUAACCUGGGGUUUCCCUCAUUUGCAUUUAAAGGCUCCAGAGCAAUAGCCUCAAAGCAAGCCAAGUCCUUGAAGCUAAAAUAAGAUUUUUUUAAAAAUGUCAUCUGAUAUGUCAUUGAGCAGCUAGUACCCCUGUCAAGGUUGAAUAAGUGCAGGAAAAAAUAUCAGGUGCUGGUAAUUCCCAGUGCGUUGGUCCUAGAACUGAUGCAUUUAAGAGCAUCCCCAUUUUCCCCUCUACUUUCUCAACUUACAUACACCCUGAGGAGAAUGAGGAAUUCCCUCAUCUUUUUUUUUUUUUCUGGAUUGCCCUUCACAGCAUUCUCAAAGGUUAAACUUCUGGCCGUCUGGGGUGUAUCGCUCCAAUCUUGGUGAUCUAAGAAUGUUUCAUUGCACAUUUGCAACAAAGGAGAUAAAGAGUGGUCUGUGGCAAAGCUCAGAUUUGAAGCAAGUGGAAAAAUCCCUUAGGCUAAGUGAAAUUUAGGAAUUUUGAUAUUAUUCAAGAAUUAAAUAAACUAGAUUUUAGAUAUGACCA
rnacentral:lncRNA from 1 species